GUGCUGGCUUCAGUAGCACACAGACUAAAGUUGGAGCUGCACAGAGAUUAGCAUGGCCCCCUGCAAGAAUGACAUAAAAUUCAUGAAGCAAGUCAGAUCUUU